rnacentral:lncRNA from 1 species
AGCCAAAUUAAAGAAAUUUAAAACUACUCAAUACUUAUUAAGGCCUACAACUUUUUAACUAAACUAAAGAACUAUAGAUAUAUAUUUUUUUUGAAAUUUUUCUUCUUAUCCUUUUUUGGAAAAAUAAAAUAUCAAUACUAUUUUUGUAAUUUUUAUUUUUGUGACGAAAUAAAAUAAAUGAGUCAAAAUUAGUUGAAAUAACUAUAUUAAACCUAAACUAAAUAUUUAAUCCUAAAAUGUGUAAAAUCUUGGGGAGAGUCAAAAAUUACAUGUCUACAGCUGCCCCUCUUUGACUGGAAACGCGAAUAGUUUUUAGACAAAGAACGACGAGACAGGUUUUUUGACCCGACCCUUAUUUAGGGAGACCAAAAACUAAGAGAAAGGAGAAUGUGACCGAGCCCUAGUAUCUGAGCUGCCUACAUAUCUUUGGCUAUAAAAGAAUCAUGCCGCGUGUAGUUCAGAAGUGAAUGAGAUGAUGGAGUGUGUGGAGAGGAUGAGAGGGUCGAGUGAGGUCCCGUUCCGCCGAGGUUUCGGUCCGCGGUCCUGUUAUUACAUCAAAAUCAAAAAAAUGAAAAAGAUUAACUAAGUCUGUCACCUAUGAGUUACAAGAUUCCUAUCUAUAAGUCUUCUGAAGCUUGAUCUUGUGUCUUGCAUGGCUCUUCAUGCGGACUUUAGAUUUGAGCCUUGACCCUUGCUAACUGCAGGUACUAGUUCAUUCUUCUUUAGCUUUUCGGAUCAAGACCGGACAUGUAGCGCUCAUGACUUCAACCAUGUCUUGAGCAGCUCACAUCUUUUAUCAACUCCUGCGCCUUUAUUUUAUUUUGGAUGUGACUAACUUCUGUUGAUCAUCUCAGACUGUUGACUCGCAUUCUUACCGCGAGCUUCUUUUGUUGCUGACUUGAAUUGUAUUCUGAAGUGAAUUCCCUUGAUUUUCCAGGUGGGUGCCUAAUUGCCAAAACUUGAACUGUCUUCCUUUGAAAUUGCUUUCCCUUGAAACUUGAAUUGUCUUCCCUUGUUCUCCAGGUGGGCGCCUGAUUGUUGAACUUGAACUGUCUUCCUUUGAAACUGAUUUCCCGUGAAACUUGAACUGUCUUCUCUUGAAACUUGAACUAUCUUCCCUUGAAACUUGAACUGCCUUCCCUUGUUCUCCAGGUGGGCGCCUGAUUGCUGAAACUUUCUAUGUUCCCCCGGAACUGCUUUCCCUUGAAACUUGCAUUGUCUUCCCUUGAAACUUGAACUAUCUUCCCUUGUUCUCCAGGUGGGUGCCUACAAUCAAAACAACAAAACAAACAAAAUUUCCUGCCCCAAUUUACACUCGGAAGAUUUGUGAGUUGUUAGCAAAACUGUAAACCACUUAUGCUAUUGAUGCAAUGAUGAAAGUAAAAUUAAUGACUCAACUAGGAUGUACAUCUCCUAAAAGUGAUUGAGCUUGCGGAAAACUAUAAACUAAGCUUGACUAAAGUAAAGACUAACCCCAUUCUCCAGGAGGGACCCCUGAUUUCAAGAAAACUAAACAUUGAUAACUUAAGAAACUAAGGUUGACCCCUCUUUUUUUCAAAUCCAGACUUCCCCCUUUUUUCAAAUUAUCCUAGGAGAAAAUUCGUCAGAGUAGGUUUUCUAUCUUAGGAGAAAGAUUCAUCAGACUAAGAUUUUGAUCCUAGGAGAAAGUUCAUCAGACUAGGUCAUUUUUAUCAGUAUCUUAGGAGAAAGAGUCAUCAGACUAAGAUUUCCACCCUAGGAGAAGAUUCAUCAGACUAGGUUUUCUAUCUUAAAUGAAAAAUUCAUCAGACUAAGAUUUCGAUCCUAGGAGAAAGUUCAUCAGACUAGGUCUCUUUUUUUUCAGUAUCUUAGGAGAAAGAUGCAUCAGACUAAGAUUUUUGUCCUAGGAGAAAAAUCAUCAGACUAGGUUUUCUAUCUUAGGAGAAAGAUUCAUCAGACUAAGAUGUUUAUCCUAGGAGAAAAUUUAUCAGAGUAGGACUUCUAUCUUAGGAGAAAGAUUCAUCAAACUAAGAUUUUCUAAUUUAUUAUCUUAGGAUAAAGAUUCAUCCGACUAAGAUUUUGAUACUAGGAGAAGGUUCAUCAUACUAGGUCCAUUUUUGUUAUCUUAGGAGAAAGAUUCAUCAGACUAAGAUUUCUAUUGGGAGGAAAAUCCAUCAGACCAGGACUUUUUAUCCUAGGAGGAAAAUGUGAAAAUCAAUAGCAAGAUUUUAUGCACAAUAGUAAGACAAAUAAAAGAUUUGAGAAACUUCCCUUUGUUGGCUCUUCUCUUCUUUUCUUUUUCUUCUCUUUUUCUUUAAUCACUUUCCUUGCACUGCUUUGUUCCUGUUUCAUACAAAGAAAAAUUUGUCAGUUUUGAAAAUGGUGGUCGGUUUGUGGCCUUGAGUCUUGGGAAGCUUGGCUUCUGCUCAAUCAGCUUGAGUCGGUUUCAAGAGACUUUUGCUCUGCAUCAACCCUGAUUGUUUCACACGCAGCACCUUUUCUAUUUGUGGCUCAAUCAGCCUUAUCCCAAUUGGAGAUCUUUGCUUAGGUGACCUUUUCUGAUAUCUUGAAUGACUUCCAGCUUUUUGAGCAAUUUAUCUAUCAGAGAGAAUCACAAGUUAUCUUUGUUUGCGCCAAGUAGGCUGACAAGAGUCUUGGGGAAGAUUUUGUAUGAAUCCUUAAGGCAUGUUGACUGUAACGACUGAUUGUGCUGGCCAAAUUUACUUUAUGCAACUAAAAAGCAGGUAGCAGAUUUUGAAAUCUUUUCUUGCUUGUUUUGACGAGGACUGACUGAGAGUGAAGGACACAAUGAUGCAAAGAAACAAGUAUUAACAAGAGAUGCCCCUUUUGGGAUGGAUAGAAGGAAAUUGUUUUUUUUUUCAAUAACUAGCCUUAAUGAUCAUGACAUGCAUUUUGGACUUAACGGCCUGAUCUAUCAAACUGAUCUAACCUUUCCUUUUACUAAUCUUAUGACCCUUGAAGUCGGGCUUAUUCGUGCCAAUCCUUUGCUUCAGCUUCAUGGCUCACUUUCGUCUAGUGGCCCCGAUGGAUCUUUACCAACAAGUCUCUCUCAUUUAUUUAUCUCUGCUUACCGUCAUCUUACAGUGCCCGUGAGGGUUUUCACUAAUAAGACUCUCUCAUUUUUCUUUUUUUUUCUUUCCCCUUCUUUUUUGUGAGCAACUUGACAGUAUUCUAUGUCGUGUGACAACCGUUGCUCAUUGCAUGCUUCUCUUGGCAUUCUUGAAGGCAUAUCGGGAAAUCUUUUGGAAGGUUUUGGAUAGGGUCGAACAGAAGGGACGUCAUGAAGGCUCAAAAAUAGACUCAAAGUAAAGGGAGUUGUACACUUACAACUCUUGGAAUCGACUCUUUCAAAAGUGAAAUAAAUUCUUUGCCCCAGUUUCAGCUAUUGGGGAUUUUUUGGAUUUUUUUUCUUUCUUUUUCUUUGAAUUCUUAUUUGGUUGGACCGAACCGUGAGGCUACCUACGUAUCCUUUUUUUAAAGGAAUCAGGUCGAACGUAGUUAAAACAUUUGACCUAAACUAUUUUUCAUCUUUCUUUUUAUUUCUCUUUUUUCUUUUUUCUUUUUUUCUCUUUUUUUCUCCUUUUUCUCUUUUUUUUCCUUUUCUUUUUCUUUUUUUUAUUUUCCCCAGCUUCUAUUUUUUUGAGGGUAUAGACCUUUGNNNNNNNNNNNNNNNNNNNNAGACAAGACUCAUACUAACAGAAUAGAAGGAUAGAAGGAUUUGACUCAAUAAAACAAAUAAAAUCUAGAUCACAACCCUGAAAUAACCCAGAUAACAGAAAACAUAUCAAAACAAGCUACCAAGAUUCCUUCCUAGUAAGGAGAGAAUGAUUUUUCAAUUGCUAAGCUUGACAUUUAGCCAUAAAUUUGCUUAUCAGAAUCACCAUGGCCUUCUCCAAUUUCAGUCGGCAAAGUCCUGAGAGGAUUCUCAUACUCCAUGUCACCAGGCAUCAUCCCCACAAAGUGUGCAUCAUCAUAUGCAAGUAAAGGAUUCUACAUAAUAUUCUAGGUGUCACUGUCUUGGAUGACAAUCAGUUUUUCCUGGAUCAUCCUUUUUAUUUCUCUUUUCAAAUCCCGACAGCGUUCAACACUGUGUCCCUGGGCAUUAGAAUGGUAUUCACACCUUUUAGAAGGGUCAAAGCUUCUUGCAUGUGGGUCCACAUGAUUUGAAGGAAUGGGUGCAAUCAUGUCAUGAUGCUUUAACUUCUUAAAUAAGCUUGCAUAAGACUCUCCUAUUGGUGUAAAAUUAUCUUUCAACCUUUGUUCCCCUCUAUACCCCUGGCUUGGAUGUGGGUAAUAGGGCACUUCAAAAAUUUGUGGAGGCUGCUGGAGGUUUUGAGGUGUUGUUGCUCGCCUUCUGGGGUGUUUUGGUGGUUGGACAACAUACUGAGGUGGAGCGACAGAGUAUUGUGGGUUCUGAGGGGGGAUAGUAAUGAUCAGGGGAGUUAUCGGAAAAUAGACGAGGCUAGCCAUACCUUCGAGAAGUUCUCCUAGGACUCUUCUUGACCCUGAUGUCAUCAUGAUUUCUUUAUCCAUCUCAAUCGUGUCACCAUAUUCAAUUUGGACAGCCUGAGUUGCAGCUUUAAGAACUGCUUGACUUAUAAUUCUGCCUGUCUUAAGGCCACUCUCUACCAUUUCUCCCAUUUUGAUUGCUUCCGAGAAGGAUUUGCCAACUGUGGACAUCAUGUUUUGAAAUUAAUCUGGCUCUUGCGCCUGAAGGAAGACAGUGAUUAGCUCGUGGUCAUCCAUGGGUGGCUUAACUCUAGCUGUUUGCUCUCUCCAUUUAAUGGCAUAUUCCCUGAAACUUUCAGUUGGUUUCUUUUUCAGGUUUGAAAGGGAAUUGCAGUCUGGGGCGAUGUCGAUGUUGUAUUGGAACUAUUUGACAAAGGCCUGUGCCAUUUCAUCCCAGACGUACCAGCGAGAUGUGUCUUGAUCCAAAAACCAUACGGAUGCUACACCCGUAAGGCUUUCCCCAGAUAAGCUAUUAACAAUUCUUCAUUUCUUCUCGCACCUCUUAGUUGAUUGCAAUACCUUUUCAGGUGGGAUAUGGGGUCUCCAUGUCCAUCAUACUUUUCAAAUUUGGGAGUCUUGAAACCCGGCGGCAAGUGGACAUCGGGGAACAUACAUAGAUCCUUGAAGGCAAUACUCUUAUGACCCGCCAACCCUUGCAUAUUUUUCAAGCGUCGUUCUAAGCUUGUCACUUUUUGGGUCAUUUCUUCCUGUGCCAUCUUUCGGGCAGGCUUCUCAAUCUUUGCAGGAAAAUCAAAUAGGUACGAGUGGUACUCAGUAGAGUGGUACUACUCUUGCCGGGUAGCAAAUUGUGACUCAUGACAAGGCUGUCCUUGGCCAUUGGCCCAUGCUUGGCACAUUUUGGUCAUUUGUUGUUUCAGUAUUCUAUUUUCCUCAACCACAAUAGACUCUUGUUGAACCCUCCGACCCUGAGUCUCUUGAGCACUUGUAACAGCUUCGAUGUCAGUUAUCAUUUUUCCUUAGAUCUUGUGUUGGCCGCUUACCACAAACCAACCACCUCAAACUUUCUUCACAAUUCAAAACAAAACGUUAGAAUGGACUCAGUCAGUCCUUAUAAUCAACAUUUUUUCACUUUGUUUUUCAUUUCUUUUCUUUUCUUUUCAAUGGUUGAUCGAACCUAAUAUGGGUUGCCUAUGUAUCAUGUGGGAACAUGAAUCAGAUCUUUUGUAGUUCGGGAAUAUCAGAAAUAAAGUAAAUAAACUAACUCUUUUUUUUUGAAUUUUGGAAUUUUUUAAUUUUCGCAAGAAAGACUUAUAAAGAAGAAUGAAAAUAUUUUUUGAUUUCAAUUUUUUUUUUUGGAAUUUUGAAUGAAAAACUUCUAAAGAAGAAAGGAAAUAUUUUUUGAUUUUUUGAGUUAUAUUUAAAUUUAUGAAAGAAAUAAUUCUAAAGAAAAAAGAAAAUAUUUUUGAAUUUCGAAUGUUCUUUUCAAUUUUCGAAAGGAAAACUUUUGAAGAAGAAUGAAAAUAUUUUUGGAUUUUUAGAAGAAAUCAAAAGAAAAUAGUUUUGGAUUUUUUUUAAAAAAAAUUAGGGUCUCAAAGAAAGACUUUCUAAAGAAGGAAGUAAAGAAAAAUAUUUUUGGAUUUUUUUUAAUUAUGUGUCAUAAAGAAAGACUUUUCUAAAGAAGGAAGUAAAUGAAAAUAUUUUUGGAUUUUCUGAAAAUUGGGGGCCGGAACCGAUGAGGUUUGCCUACGUAUCUCAUAUCUGGUGAGAAUCAGACACGCGUAGUUCGCCCAGUAUUAACGGAACAAAGGAAAAUAUGACUUAUUUUGAAAUGACUUUUUCUUUUUUUUUUCAAAAUUUCGGCAGAAUUUCGGGAUAAUUCAAAUACUUGCCUCUCACUCUCUUUUAUUUUUUCUCCUUUUUUUUAUUUUCUUUGUUUUUUCUUUCUUCUUUUUCUCUUUCCCUAUUCUAGAAGCCAAUCAACAUGCAAGCCGAAACGAACAGAUACACAAGUAGCACGUAAGAUGCAUCAGGACGAUCUUUUAAUUUGGGUACACCUGUCCUAGAAGGACUCAGCCCCUGUGUUGAGCCCCCAAAAUCAAAUGCACGUGAUGCAAACAAAACGUUCCUACUAUGGAUCCAGCAUGAGGCUAUGUUAUUCUAGGUUUAAAACCUGGUUGUAUUGUUCUAGACCUGGCUUAUCCGAGCAGACAGCUCGAGCCGAGGGGGGGGCAGCGUACCGGGAAUACAGAAGCUUCACCGGCUUUGCAACUUGUCCGAAACUCGUUCUAAAAUUGGGAUACGACUCUAACAUAAAAGAAGUCACACAAAGUGCACACUUCCUAUAUGAUUUAGAAGACUCAGAGAGAAGAGGGUUUUGUAACAAUUUAUAUACAUUUCAAGCAAUAUCAAAGCGGUAAAAAGCGGCAUUUAGCACAUUAGGCUCAAACACGAAAAAAUCAGAUAAUAAAUGAAAGCCAACUAUAAAAGUUAUUCUAAGCUCGUAUUCUGAACCCUGAACCAGAAGUUUUGGGUUCUUAUUCCCAGCGGAGUCGCCAGAUCUGUCACACCUCCUUUUUACCGCCCUGGAAGGGGUAUAAGGGAGUUUUUCCAAUUUAAGUGACAAUCGAAACAGGAUUAUUUUAUUUACAAUCUAGAGUCGCCACUUAGGAUAAUUUAUGGAGUCCCAAGUCACGGUUUAAAUCCCGAAUCGAGGAAAGAUUGAAUCUGUUUACAGUCCGCGAAUACAGAAAUCCGGAUAAGGAAUUCUGUUAACCUGGGAGAAGAUGUUAGGCAUUCCCGGGUUCCGUGGUUCUAGCACGGUCGCUCAACUAUUAACAAUUGGCCUAAUUAUCUGAUAAAUUACACAUUUUAAACCUGCGUGCAUUUUUUAACUUUAUAACCGCUUUUAAUUAUUUUAAACCGCAUUCAGGAUUUAUGGAAUUAUUUCUUGAACAAGUUACGAUUGUCGUACACUUGCCAUUUUGGAACACACCGCAAACCACGCUAUAUGAAAUGCUCCUGCGAUUCGCGACAUAUUUAUUUUAUUAUUAUUUAAAGUUGUUAUGCCCGGGUCACAUGAAAUGCACGCCCGAAUUUGGAUUAGGUAUCAUGAGUAUGCCAUGAGAACUGUACCCAUAGUCACGAUGAUUAUUAUUAACGCGCGUAAAGCAAACUACGAAUAUUUAUUUGGUUAUUUUCCUACACUAAUUUUUGAAUUCUGCUUCGGCCUUGAUAUACUGCACAGGUUUUUUUCCAGUUCUUUUACUUAAAGAUACAAGCUAUUAUAGCCUUUGUGGAAGAAGAAAGUCAAUGAAUGAGAGAAAAAAAAGAAAUAAAAAAGAAAAACAACUAACAGCUAUAGACCUAGAUAUCUUGGGAGUACAUCCUCAAUAGGGUUAUGGUGGAAAUCACAGCUUAUCAUUAGAGCAGAAUUCUAAACUAACACAACAAUUAAUAAAAGGACUAUCUAAGAUACAUUUAACAUGAAAAUAAUUAAAAAUGAAAUGGACCUUCAUAGCUUUGUACGGAUAGAAACAAACAACAUUCUGAGGCAUGUAAUGAGCUAAAGUAUUUUAUAUUAUUUAGCAAGCUAAUAACAAAGAGCAAGAAAAAGUGAGAAGUGGCCGAGAAACGGACCUCUAUGAACUCAGAUAAUUUUGAAAUGAAGCUCAAUAACGGAAUUCCGAGUUACAGAAACUCGCCGGAGACCUCGACAGACCAAACCUUGAUGACCUCGAAACCUCAAUACCCAGCUCCGAGAAGAUCUCACAAACGAGCUCCAAAAAUGGAUUCAAACUAGUGGAACUCCAGUAGCAAACUGGAAGGAAAACGCAAAAGGCAGUAGCAAAAGGCGGGUGGAAGGUAAGGCAAUGCUGGCGAUGGAAGCGGAGAACGGGAUGGUCUGCCGACAUUCAUGGCUGUUGUUACUCUAAGCAUGAAGGAAACGUCCACUACUGAGAUUAAUUUUGUCUCUCCAAUAUAGUUUCACCCAUAAUAAAUUUUCUCAAAAAAAUGAUGAACAGCAAAAAAUAGAGCUGCCGGAAAAUCUAAAACCGACUGUUGGUGUCCAUAUCCGACGAGCUAACACCAGCAAAGGCGAAGAUGAUAGUGGGGUUAAAACUGUAGCCAAGAAGAAAGACUUUGUGGCUAUUUUUUUCGUUUUUUCUUUGGGUUUUUUUUCCGUGUCCUUCGUGCCCCAGGUCCCUUUGUUUUUGUUUUUGUUGUGCAAACCCCCUUUCCCUGUUAUUCUUCGCCCCCCACCCCUGUUGCUCUCUCUCUAUUUCUCAGCUUUUUACUGUUUUCCCCCUCUUGCUACUCUCUGUAGGUGUCUUCCUUUUUCAGAGAGGUGAGAGUGCGCAUUUUAUAGGUAGGUAGUGAAUUGUUGGCCAAGAAAAAUAAAUGAGAUUAGGAUAAGAGUGUCAGGUCCCCACCCCUCUACCUAGUGGUUAUACAUACAUAAAAAAUAAUAUUGUGCAAGUGAGAUCACAUGGGGUGGUAAACAAAGAAAAAUGAGCAGUCAAUUUUUAAUUAAUAUUUUUU